rnacentral:rRNA from 1 species
CGCGUAGGCGGUCUGUUAAGUUCGGUGUGAAAGCCCUCGGCUCAACCGGGGAAGUGCGCCGGAUACUGGCAGACUUGAGUACCGGAGAGGAGGGUGGAAUUCCUGGUGUAGCGGUGAAAUGCGUAGAUAUCAGGAGGAACACCGGUGGCGAAGGCGGCCCUCUGGACGAGUACUGACGCUGAGGCGCGAAAGCGUGGGGAUCAAACAGGAUUAGAUACCCUGGUAGUCCACGCUGUAAACGAUGGGGACUAGGUGUGGGGGGUAUUGACCCCUCCCGUGCCGACGCUAACGCAUUAAGUCCCCCGCCUGGGGAUUACGGCCGCAAGGUUAAA